rnacentral:rRNA from 1 species
CCUACGGGAGACAGCAGUGAGGAAUAUUGGUCAAUGGACGAGAGUCUGAACCAGCCAAGUAGCGUGAAGGAUGACUGCCCUAUGGGUUGUAAACUUCUUUUAUAUGGGAAUAAAACGUUCCACGUGUGGGAUUUUGUAUGUACCAUAUGAAUAAGGAUCGGCUAACUCCGGGCCAGCAGCCGCGGUAAUACGGAGGAUCCGAGCGUUAUCCGGAUUUAUUGGGUUUAAAGGGAGCGUAGGUGGAUUGUUAAGUCAGUUGUGAAAGUUUGCGGCUCAACCGUAAAAUUGCAGUUGAAACUGGCAGUCUUGAGUACAGUAGAGGUGGGCGGAAUUCGUGGUGUAGCGGUGAAAUGCUUAGAUAUCACGAAGAACUCCGAUUGCGAAGGCAGUUCACUGGACUGCAACUGACACUGAGGCUCGAAAGUGUGGGUAUCAAACAGGAUUAGAUACCCUGGUAGUC